rnacentral:rRNA from 1 species
UACGGGGGGGGCAAGCGUUGUUCGGAAUUACUGGGCGUAAAGGGCUCGUAGGCGGCCAACUAAGUCCGACGUGAAAUCCCAAGGCUUAACCUUGGAACUGCGUCGGAUACUGGAUGGCUUGAAUUCGGGAGAGGGAUGCAGAAUUCCAGGUGUAGCGGUGAAAUGCGUAGAUAUCUGGAGGAAUACCGGUGGCGAAGGCGGCGACCUGGGUAGAUACUGACGCUGAGGCGCGAAAGCGUGGGGAGCAAACAGG